UACGCAGGUGGCAAGCGUUGUCCGGAUUUAUUGGGUUUAAAGGGUGCGUAGGCGGUCUUUUAAGUCAGUGCUGAAAUACUCCAGCUUAACUGGAGGGGUGGCAUUGAUACUGGAAGACUUGAGUGCAGUCGAAGUAGGCGGAAUUGACGGUGUAGCGGUGAAAUGCUUAGAUAUCGUCAAGAACACCGAUAGUGAAGACAGCUUACUAGGCUGCAACUGACGCUGAGGCACGAAAGUGUGGGGAGUCAAACAGG
rnacentral:rRNA from 1 species